CCCUCUUUAAACAAUACAUUUCGUUACAAAGUGCCGCGAAGAUUUGCCUCUGGUAACGCCAAGCGUCUGAUACCGAGCAGAGUCCUCUUUCAACAGAUCCUUGUCAUCAAAUUCACAUAAAUUUCCUCGCAAAGUACUCGACUAAGCGUUUUACAUCUAUUUGAUCUAUUUUACAGCAGCCUUGCCUGACUGACUAUAAGCAUCAAUUACAAUAUACAGGGUGCUUGCGGGUUACAUCGCCAAACUUUAGGUAUAAAAGGAUCCUAAAGCAAACAAAUUUAUCCUCUAUGUUCCAAGAACACAAGUGGUAGGGCUUUUAUUGGGCCCAAUAAAUUGAUCGCGGCGUUACCUGCUCGGUAACCUGACUGCAGAUAGGACCCGGCAGGUUUCAGCUUGAUUGUUCAUGGUUAUUUAGAUUUACAGCGCGGGAUUUGCAUCAGAACUGGUCUUCUUGAAUACUUGAACUUCAUGAUGAAGUCCGACAUUAUCGAGAACUAUGAAAAUUUGAAACAGCUAAACGAGAAGGUCCUCAAUGUGCCAUCAAUUAAGAGCUGGAUUGAGAAACGCCCACAAUCCCAAUGGAAUGUGUAAAUGCUACACAGGGUGUAUCGAAAAUACUCCAUUUGAAAUUUCCAUAACUUCACAUGUUGCUAUAUCUACAACAUUUGUUACAGCAUAUAUUAACGUCUAUCUAUGUAAAAUAACUACAUAAAGAUAUUCAAAGAUGUAGACUGUUAGAACUAAAGUAUUAUACUUUUGUAUUCAAAUAAAUAGUUUGUUUAAUAAACUAGCCAUUUUUCCCACUUAAA